CGGCCGCAGUAUCUUAACUGUGCUAAGGUAGCAUAAUAAUUUGUCCUAUAAUUGAGGACUGGAAUGAAUGGUCUCACAAGAGCAAAGCUGUCUCUUUUUGAUUAGAUAGAAUUUACCUUUCAGAUGAAGAGGUCUGAAUAUAAUUAAAAGACAAGAAGACCCUAUCGAGCUUUAAAAAAAUUAGUAAAAUCUAUUUUAUACUACGUAAAAAUAAAUUAUUAAACAUUUUGGUUGGGGCGACUAAGGAACAAAAAAAGCUUCUUUAAUUUACUGAAACUUACUAGUUUUGAUCCAUAAGUUAUGAUUAAUGAAAUUAGUUACCGUAGGGAUAACAGCCUUAUCUUUUUUGAGAGCUCUAAUCCGAAAAAAAGGUUUGUGACCUCGAUGUUG
rnacentral:rRNA from 1 species